rnacentral:rRNA from 1 species
GAUGAACGCUAGCUACAGGCUUAACACAUGCAAGUCGCAGGGUAACAUGAGGAAAGCUUGCUUUCCUUGAUGACGACUGGCGCACGGGUGAGUAACGCGUAUCCAACCUUCCCAUAACUACGGGAUAACCCGUUGAAAGACGGCCUAAUACCGUAUGAUAUCGUUUGCUGACAUCAAAUAACGAUUAAAGGUUUAGCGGUUAUGGAUGGGGAUGCGUCUGAUUAGCUUGUUGGCGGGGUAACGGCCCACCAAGGCGACGAUCAGUAGGGGUUCUGAGAGGAAGGUCCCCCACAUUGGAACUGAGACACGGUCCAAACGCCUACGGGAGGCAGCAGUGAGGAAUAUUGGUCAAGGGGCGAGAGCCUGAACCAGCCAAGUAGCGUGCAGGAUGACGGCCCUAUGGGUUGUAAACUGCUUUUAUGUGGGGAUAAAGUGCGUGACGUGUCAUGCAUUGCAGGUACCACAUGAAUAAGGACCGGCUAAUUCCGUG